rnacentral:rRNA from 1 species
GACGUAGGGCGCGAGCGUUGUCCGGAAUUAUUGGGCGUAAAGAGCUCGUAGGCGGCUCGUUGCGUCGGCUGUGAAAACCCGCAGCUCAACUGUGGGCUUGCAGCCGAUACGGGCGGGCUGGAGUUCGGCAGGGGAGACUGGAAUUCCUGGUGUAGCGGUGAAAUGCGCAGAUAUCAGGAGGAACACCGGUGGCGAAGGCGGGUCUCUGGGCCGAUACUGACGCUGAGGAGCGAAAGCGUGGGGAGCGAACAGG